GGCGGACGGGUGAGUAAUGCUUGGGAAUAUGCCUUAUGGUGGGGGACAACAGUUGGAAACGACUGCUAAUACCGCAUGAUGUCUACGGACCAAAGUGGGGGACCUUCGGGCCUCACGCCAUAAGAUUAGCCCAAGUGGGAUUAGCUAGUUGGUGAGGUAAUGGCUCACCAAGGCGACGAUCCCUAGCUGGUUUGAGAGGAUGAUCAGCCACACUGGGACUGAGACACGGCCCAGACUCCUACGGGAGGCAGCAGUGGGGAAUAUUGCACAAUGGGCGCAAGCCUGAUGCAGCCAUGCCGCGUGUGUGAAGAAGGCCUUCGGGUUGUAAAGCACUUUCAGUAAGGAGGAAAGGUUAAGUGUUAAUAGCACUUAGCUGUGACGUUACUUACAGAAGAAGCACCGGCUAACUCCGUGCCAGCAGCCGCGGUAAUACGGAGGGUGCGAGCGUUAAUCGGAAUUACUGGGCGUAAAGCGUACGCAGGCGGUUUGUUAAGCGAGAUGUGAAAGCCCCGGGCUCAACCUGGGAACUGCAUUUCGAACUGGCAAACUAGAGUGUGAUAGAGGGUGGUAGAAUUUCAGGUGUAGCGGUGAAAUGCGUAGAGAUCUGAAGGAAUACCGAUGGCGAAGGCAGCCACCUGGGUCAACACUGACGCUCAUGUACGAAAGCGGUGGGGGAGCAAACAGGAUUAGAUACCCUGGUAGUCCACGCCGUAAACGAUGUCUACUAGAAGCUCGGGUCUUCGGACUUGUUUUUCAAAGCUAACGCA
rnacentral:rRNA from 1 species